rnacentral:rRNA from 1 species
UACGGAGGAUCCAAGCGUUAUCCGGAUUUAUUGGGUUUAAAGGGUGCGUAGGCGGCCUAUUAAGUCAGGGGUGAAAGACGGUAGCUUAACUAUCGCAGUCUCUUGAUACUGAUGGGCUUGAAUGUACUUGAGGUAGGCGGAAUGUGACAAGUAGCGGUGAAAUGCAUAGAUAUGUCACAGAACACCAAUUGCGAAGGCAGCUUACUAAAGUAUGAUUGACGCUGAGGCACGAAAGCGUGGGGAUCAAACAGG